UUGUGUGUUUUUUUCCCUCAUGAUUAAAACACGUAGUUUUUUGUUUUACCCUUUGUCGAAGUCGUACGGACCGAUAUAUGUUGCCAACCAAAAUUUCUUUCUGUUGCCAGGUAUCGGAUCUGAAAAGGGUUCAUUUUGUACGCCAAUAAUAAAGAAUUGAUGACGAUGACAAAGAUUAGGGCAAUUGUUGUGCUUCUGCAACUUCCAGAUUAGAUUAGAUUAGAUUAGAUAUAGAUUAGGAACUCUGUCUUUAGCCUCUUCUUUUCAAUUGUUUUAAUAUUUAAUGGUCCAAAUCUGACACCAUGAGGAAGAAGCUGGAUACCCGUUUCCCUGCUGUAAGUUUUUCUCCCUUAAUUUUUCUAAUUGUUUGCAAUUUUGAUUACUGCUUGUGUGUACAAAUCUGAUUACUGCUUGUAAGUCUUAAUAUGAUUUUUUUUUUUAAAAAAAUUUUCUUUUAAAAUAGGGCUUGUUUCUGGGGAUAAAUUGGGGUUAAUUGUUUUUGGCAGAAUUUCGAUUAGGGCUUCUGUUUUCCUUUUCAAUUACUAUUAUUAUUUAAUAUUUGUAAUUGUUAGCAUAACAAUUGUGAGGCUUUAUCUUUCCACCAGAUCUUGAUGCACCUUCCAGUGCAAGAUUAGAAUUUUAAUAAACAGGAUCUACUCAAUACCGUGUUGCAGAGGGGAAGUUGACUUGCUGUUAAUUCAAAAUUACUAAUUUUCUCCUUCCGCAGCGCUGUAUUCCUGUAGUUAAGUUACAUGUGUAUAUUUAUCUAUUUAGCAUUUGUUAUGUAUCUCUGAGUGUAUCUUGAUUUUGGUUCCAACCUAAUAUGGUUGUGGAAGGGGCUUGGGAUAUGCUGUGUGCUGCUCUAUUUUGUUUCGGUAGUGAGUAGUGAUUCGGCAUGGUUGUGAAUAAGUCUUAUUUUUAUUCUAUUUUCGUAAUUUCAAAAUUAUAAUGGAUUAUUAGAUGAAUAGGUAUCAAGGACUUUUUAGUAAUAUAUUCUUUUAGGCUGCCAGAAUAGCAUUUGGAUGCAGCCUUUUGAAUAAAAUUCUUUGGUUUAGAAGUCCAAUAAGAACUCCAAGUUAUAUUAGUGAACUUGGUCCCCAAGCCUUAAAUUUUUUAUGAGUAUUGUAAUCCCCACAAAGUGAGUGAAGAUAUAAUUAUUUGAGUAUAAAUUUUUGUGGUUUUUGGUUUAUGUUGCAGUGUCAUAAGUCCACAGCAGCUUCCCGCUUGGGUCAAACACUCUUCCUUUUCCCCCUUUUAAUCUUGGCAAUCUUUUUCUACAUCAUUUAGUAUCAAGGCCAAAGCCUGUAUUUUUGAAUGAUCUAAUUCUUCUUUGAUAUCCGGCGAUCUGAUCUGGUUAAUAAAUUCCCUUUUAGUCCUUUAUAUCUACGUUGGACCUGAUCAGCACUUGAACUAGUCCACUAGUCACAGAAAAGUAAAGCCACAAAAAUGAAUAGUAGAGGCAGAGUUUCCCCCUAAUUUUAUUUCUUUUAGAUUUCCCACUGUUUUUACUAUGGAGUAAAGUUGAGAGAGAGGCUGUCACGGUCAACUGACUCCUUCAAAUUGUUAAGUAUCAAUCCUUUAUGAGUUAACUUUUGUUUUUUUUCUUUUUAAAUUUAGGAAAAAAAAGAAAUAGAAAAAAGCUUCAAAUUGAGGAUUGCUUACAACUUGAGACUACUUUUCAUACUAUUCUUCGUUGUGGAGAAAGAGUAUGUAAUUUUUUUUCCAAAGAGGAAUGCUCCAUUAAUGUGGUAUCACUCUGUGCAAUAGAAAAGAAGCUAAAUUCUAAACUGCAUUCGAAGCCUUAUAAUAUUAUUGGGCAAGUAAUACUACGUCCAUUCGAAAAUAGUCCCUCCAUUUUAGAAUAUAGGAUCAAGUUGACUUUUCAAAGUCAAUCUAAGAUAUUUUUAAAUUUAAAAUUAAUGUGAUUCAUUUAACUUUCAAAAACAAUAAAUCUUGUAAUUAGUAGUACUAUUUAGAUAGUUUACAAUUUCAUAAUCUUAUUGUCUUAAACAAAUUUAAUUAAUUUAUAUUUAUAUUUUGAAAAUAUCUCAAAUUGACUUCAAAAAUUCAAUAGUAAUCCUAUAUUUUGGAACGGAGGGAGUAUAAGAUCACUUUACUUUGUAACAAAAUAUAAGAUCACUUGCCUUUGUACAAAGCAAGUGGUCUUAAAUUUUGGAACGGAGGGAGAAAUUUUCUUCGUCUUUUAUAAAGGUGCAGAGUUCCAAUCAAGAUGUAUUUGAAAAUUUAAAAGUAUUUGGCGUGAUGUUCUACAUGUGAAUGUUGCACACAAUUUUACUUGGUGAAACUUGGAUCAAGGGAUUAGAUGUGAACUACGAGGUAGAAAUAUAGAAGAUGAUAUAUAUUAUUUUAUACAUGCAAACCAAACU
rnacentral:lncRNA from 1 species